rnacentral:lncRNA from 8 species
GACCAUUUACACAGAUGGUUCAAAGAUCCAAGGAAGGACGUACUGGGUCAGCAUUUGUAGUGCAGGAAUGUGGGGUGGAAUUCAGGAAAAGUAUUACAGAUCAUCUGGCUGUAUAUACAGCAGAGCUGAUGGCCAUACUGUUUGCAUUGCAGUGGAUGGAGGAAGUCAAGCCAGACAGAGUAGUUAUUUGCUCUGAUUCAUGUGCAAUGUUAAUGAGUCUCCAGUCCUUUAGUUCACAUAGCAGACAAGACCUCCUUUAUGAGGUGCUACAAACCCAUGGCAGGAUUAGACAGAUGGGUAUACAGAUAAGAUUAACUUGGGUCCCAGCCAAUGUGGGGGUGGAGGGGAACGAGGCAGUUGAUGUACUGGCUAAACAAACAUUUACAAGUGGGGAUGUUAAUGUUGUAGUUUCAAUGAGCAAGGCAGAGGAAAAAAGCCUGAUAUGGACAGUGAUGGUGCAGAGAUGGCAGGAGCAGUGGAAUAGAGAUACUAAGGGCAGGCAUUUAUUUCAAGUACAGAGGAAAGUCGAGGGGGGGAGGACGGCAGGAAGGGAUAGAAGAGAGGAGGCUAUUUUUACAAGAUUAAAGGUGGGACACAGCCAAUUGAAUAAGUCCUUAAAUGUGAUAGGAAAGCAUCCAACAGGAAAGUGUGAUUAUUUCCAGGAAACAGAGACUGUGGAACAUGUAUUGUUACAGUGUGGGCAGUAUCAGAGGGAAAGAGAGAGGCUGAGAUCUAAUAUGAGGGAGAAGGGGAUACAGGAAAUUAGUUUAAAGAGUACAGAAUAUUUAGUAGAACCUCAUUCGAAAUAGUCUCAAAUAUUUUGUUAUAUAUUUUUAAGAGCAACGGAGCUGGUAGGUAGGAAUUAGUUUCCCCCUGUAUCUGGCCCACACUCCAGUACAGUAGAUGGUGGUAAUGCCGAUAAACCCCACCGAAGAAGUUCCGUUGGUCUGUAACAAAAUGCAGUGUGCCAAUUUGCAUUGAUGCAUUCUUCAUUAUUAUAAAAUAACAGUAGUGGGGGGUACCGGUACAGAGUCAAUGAGCGGGGUCACAGGUUAGUCGAGGUAAUAGAGGUAUGUACAGUUGAAGUCGGAAGUUUACAUACACCGUAGCCAAAUACAUUUAAACUCCGUUUUUCACAGUUCCUGAC